AGAGAGAGAGAGAGAGAGAGCACGGCUGAGAAAGACCAAGAGGAAGAAAGAAAAGGGAAGAAGAAAGCCUUGUGGGAUAUCAAAACUCAAGCUAAAAAUUAUGAAAAACUCAUCAUGAGGUGGGCAUCCGAGGCCUUAUAUCGACUUAACCCGCUGUGAGCACACUAAGCAACAAGGAUAGAGAAAGACUCAGAGUUUACCUGUGUCAACCUUUAGAAGAGCUUCCAGAAUGGAGCAAGUAAGGCUCGAGUAGAGCCAAGAAAAUCAGCCAUUUAGCUUCAUCAGAGUUUUUUUGUGUUUUGCUGAGUCUUAAAUGUAUAUAUGUGUGUGAGAUAUAUGAAACUUGUAUAUGUUUAUAAAUUAUUAUUGUAUCGUGUAGGUACA